rnacentral:rRNA from 1 species
GAUGAACGCUAGCUACAGGCUUAACACAUGCAAGUCGAGGGGCAGCGGGAUUGAAGCUUGCUUCAAUUGCCGGCGACCGGCGCACGGGUGAGUAACGCGUAUCCAACCUUCCGUACACUCAGGGAUAGCCUUUCGAAAGAAAGAUUAAUACCUGAUGGUAUGAUGAGAUCGCAUGGUAUCAUCAUUAAAGAUUUAUCGGUGUACGAUGGGGAUGCGUUCCAUUAGGUAGUAGGCGGGGUAACGGCCCACCUAGCCUACGAUGGAUAGGGGUUCUGAGAGGAAGGUCCCCCACAUUGGAACUGAGACACGGUCCAAACUCCUACGGAGGCAGCAGUGAGGAAUAUUGGUCAAUGGACGAGAGUCUGAACCAGCCAAGUAGCGUGCAGGAUGACGGCCCUAUGGGUUGUAAACUGCUUUUAUAAGGGAUAAAGUGGAGUCGUGAGACUUUUUGCAUGUACCUUAUUGAAUAAGGACCGCUAAUUCCGUGCCAGCAG